rnacentral:rRNA from 1 species
GCUUACGGCCAUACCACCCUGAACACGCCCGAUCUCGGAUCUCGGAAGCUAAGCAGGGUCGGGCCUGGUUAGUACUUGGAUGGGAGACCGCCUGGGAAUACCAGGUGCUGUAAGCU